rnacentral:rRNA from 1 species
GACGAACGCUGGCGGCGUGCCUAAUACAUGCAAGUAGAACGCUGAAGGAGGAGCUUGCUUCUCUGGAUGAGUUGCGAACGGGUGAGUAACGCGUAGGUAACCUGCCUGGUAGCGGGGGAUAACUAUUGGAAACGAUAGCUAAUACCGCAUAAGAGUAGAUGUCGCAUGACAUUUGCUUAAAAGGUGCAAUUGCAUCACUACCAGAUGGACCUGCGUUGUAUUAGCUAGUUGGUGAGGUAACGGCUCACCAAGGCAACGAUACAUAGCCGACCUGAGAGGGGGAUCGGCCACACUGGGACUGAGACACGGCCCAGACUCCUACGGGAGGCAGCAGUAGGGAAUCUUCGGCAAUGGACGGAAGUCUGGCCGAGCAACGCCGCGUGAGUGAAGAAGGUUUUCGGAUCGUAAAGCUCUGUUGUAAGAGAAGAACGAGUGUGAGAGUGGAAAGUUCACACUGUGACGGUAUCUUACCAGAAAGGGACGGCUAACUACGUG